rnacentral:rRNA from 1 species
UACGUAGGGUGCGAGCGUUAAUCGGAAUUACUGGGCGUAAAGCGUGCGCAGGCGGUUUUGUAAGCCAGAUGUGAAAGCCCCGGGCUCAACCUGGGAAUGGCAUUUGGGACUGCAAGGCUGGAGUUUGGCAGAGGAGACUGGAAUUCCCGGUGUAGCAGUGAAAUGCGUAGAUAUCGGGAGGAAUACCGAUGGCGAAGGCAGGUCUCUGGGCUAUAACUGACGCUCAUGCACGAAAGCGUGGGGAGCAAACAGG